GCUCGAUGUGAACAUCUAGGAGAGUAAUUGAAAAUAAAAUUUCGGAAAGAAAAGUAAAAAAGAAACUUUCAGUUCGUAAAUAUAAAGCAAAAGUACUAUUAACAGUUAUUCGAUUCACAAAACAAAAGCAAACAAAACAGUGGUUGCUUAUCAGUCAAUAACAAAGUGUUGUUGUUAUCAUAAACGACGACGAAGACGACACAUCGGCUUGGAACUGGCAGAGAGUAAAAUCGAAGUCAAAGGCAAUCAAGAGACAAAACCAAGCCUCUCCUAUUCUACUAAAGAAAAACAUCGCUCUGGUCUUAGCACCCAGCUCCAGCUCCAAUCAAUAUGCCCUCCUAAGCGACAGCACGCCUAAUAACGGAAAUGAAGACGAAAACAAAGAACUGCACAUGAUAACUGAAGAUAACUGAAAUUAAUCUGCCAAGCCGCCACCUAUAUUCUUAUCUGAAGUCUGUGAAAUAAAAGGAAUGCUAAAACUCUUACUAAAG
rnacentral:lncRNA from 1 species